rnacentral:rRNA from 1 species
UACGUAGGGGGCCAGCGUUGCUCGGAAUUACUGGGCGUAAAGGGUUCGUAGGUGGUGCGGCAAGUUGGGAGUGAAAUCUCUGGGCUUAACUCAGAGGCUGCUUUCAAAACUGCCGCGCUCGAGUGCGAGAGAGGUCAGUGGAAUUGCAGGUGUAGCGGUGAAAUGCGUAGAUAUCUGCAGGAACAUCCGAGGCGAAAGCGGCUCGCUGGAUCACAACUGACGCUGAGAGACGAAAGCUAGGGGAGCAAACAGG